rnacentral:lncRNA from 1 species
GAAAAAACAACUUUAAAAGUAAAAUGGUUCGGGUUAAAGCCCUUCGAUAUCAUCUGCUUAAACUCGUUUAUUGCUUCUCUGUAUUGCCCACUUAAUCCAUAAGCCUCAAUGAUAGCAGUCCAUGUUAGAGAUCCUUUGACAGGUAUUGCAGAGAAGGAAAACCUUGAUUUAUCAAUUGCACCACAACCCCCAUACAUCUUCACAAGUUCUGCAGAAACAAAUGGUACAAAUGAUAUAUCUUUCUUCAGAAUCUGGCCGUGUAUUUCUCUCCCAAGUUUCAAAAGCCUUAAUUUGCCACAAACACUUAAAAUUCUUCCCAUUGCUACAGAGUCUGCUCGGUGCUUCGACAACUGCAUUGACCGGAAAAUACCAAGUGCUUCCUCAAGACACCCAGAAUCAAUAUAUGAAUCCAUCAUGGCUGUCCACGAUAUAACAUUCCUAUUCUCCAUUCCAUCAAAAACUUUAGACGAAUAUUGAAGCAAACCACACUUUGAGUACAUCAUCAUUAGGCACGUACUUACAGAUGCAUUAGGCAAAAAACCAUUUUUCACUGCAUAAGCAUGAAUCUCUUUCCCCUUGUAAUUUUAAUUUAUUUUUUGGUCAAUUUUCUUUUAAGUUCUAGUAGGUACUAAUAUAGUAUCAUUUUACUGUUUUGCAAUUAUCAUUAUUUUCAGUCAUCUUGGUACUAUUAUUAUGAAAUUUAAAAGAAUAAUUUACAGUAUACUUUGUUGUGUGGCUACUUUAGUCUUUACUUCAUGUUUGGGAAGAAAAAGAUAUAGUAAAUCAAACCCUUAGCUUUAUAAGGCGGAGAGGUCAUUUUAAAAAAAUCAUAAGACACCAUAUACUUUCACUAUGUGACCACAAUAUAAAAGUUGCGGAUUCGAAUUGUAGCGGCUGCGGUUCUACUGGGGUCGCCACAAAAAGCGGUUCUCCUGGGUUCCAAAAAAAAAAAGUUGGGGAUUCUGAAAUUUCUCUAUCAUCAUACAGAUAAGCACCAUAAAAAAUGAGAUGGAUGAAAAAAUGUUCAUGAAUGAAUGACAGAUGUGUGCCUCCUAGUUUUAUAAAUGACAAACGCACCUUAUUGAUUUUUUUCUUCUUUUCAUUUUUUUGGUUUCCUAAGUGGUAUCAGUGGCAGGUUUGCAGCAUAUACAACAUUUUAUACAACAAAGCUAACAAAGCAAGAAUUGCUCGAAUGGUGCUAUGGAAGGGCAAAAUCAGCACCAUUUGGAUCUGUAUUAACAUCUUCCACUAGAUACAUAUACGAAGUAAUCACUGCAAGUCUGCCAUGAGAAGUCCCAUUUCCCCAAAUACGACAUGUCAUAUCGAAGGUCCUUCCUCGCGUUCCUUAUGAGUAACAUUUUUGGCUUGACAAGUCACUAGUACUCUUCUCAUCUAUGUCGACAGAAAGACAAUAGCAAACUCUACUGCAAGCCACUGGUUUGAGUCCGAAUGUAUAACCGUGUCCGACCAAACAUGUAAUGAGGAAAAUCUUUCUCCUCUACCUCAUGCCAAGGAUUGUUUGAGAAGGACAAACUUUUCAGCCUCCUUAGUACGACCAACAUGAUGUAGAAGGUUAAUGAUGCUAGUAUAAUGGUCUUCGGAUGCCUUUAUCUUAUAUUUUUGUGUCAUCAUAGUGAAGAAUUGACAACCCUCGUCAGCAAAUCCAGCUUUCUCACAAAUAGAAAAAACAACUUUAAAAGUAAAAUGGUUCGGGUUAAAGCCCUUCGAUAUCAUCUGCUUAAACUCGUUUAUUGCUUCUCUGUAUUGCCCACUUAAUCCAUAAGCCUCAAUGAUAGCAGUCCAUGUUAGAGAUCCUUUGACAGGUAUUGCAGAGAAGGAAAACCUUGAUUUAUCAAUUGCACCACAACCCCCAUACAUCUUCACAAGUUCUGCAGAAACAAAUGGUACAAAUGAUAUAUCUUUCUUCAGAAUCUGGCCGUGUAUUUCUCUCCCAAGUUUCAAAAGCCUUAAUU